UGGGGGCUGCAGCUGCCGGACCCAGGCACCGACCCUUGACCUCCGGUGGCUCCCCCAUCUCUCAGGCGCGAUGGCUACGGGCGCGGAUGUACGGGACAUUCUAGAACUCGGGGGUCCAGAAGGGGAUGCAGCCUCUGGGACCAUCAGCAAGAAGGACAUUAUCAACCCGGACAAGAAAAAGUCCAAGAAGUCCUCUGAGACACUGACUUUCAAGAGGCCCGAGGGCAUGCACCGGGAAGUCUAUGCCUUGCUCUACUCUGACAAGAAGCAAGUAUUGGAGUCCCAAGUCCCCCAGGUUUUGGCCCCUGAUUCACCUGCCAUGCCCCUAACUACUAGUUUUCUCUAACAAUUUUCUCCUCCCCAGCAAGGGCUCCUGCUUGCUUAGCAGGAUGCAGGAGGACCUGAAAUCUUUUGCUCCAGGACAUGACUUUCUUGCUAUAGGGUAGGGUAGAUCAGCUCCCUGGGACAAAAAGCUCUUUAACACACCUUCUGAUUCUAACCUCGCAUCUCCCUAAACCUCCCUGCCAGGGAUGCACCCCCACUGCUACCC
rnacentral:sRNA from 1 species